rnacentral:rRNA from 1 species
GACGAACGCUGGCGGCGUGCUUAACACAUGCAAGUCGAACGGAAAGGCCUUUUCGGAGGUACUCGAGUGGCGAACGGGUGAGUAACACGUGGGUGAUCUGCCCUGCACUCUGGGAUAAGCCUGGGAAACUGGGUCUAAUACCGGAUAGGACUGCACUUUAGUGUGUGUGGUGGAAAGUUUUUUUCGGUGUAGGAUGAGCCCGCGGCCUAUCAGCUUGUUGGUGGGGUAAUGGCCUACCAAGGCGGCGACGGGUAGCCGGACUGAGAGGUUGGUCGGCCACAUUGGGACUGAGACACGGCCCAGACUCCUACGGGAGGCAGCAGUGGGGAAUUUUGCACAAUGGGGGAAACCCUGAUGCAGCGACGCCGCGUGAUUUAGAAGGCCUUCGGGUUGUAAAAAUCUUUUGUAUAGGAAGAAAAUGACAGUACUAUACGAAUAAGGUCCGGCUAAUUACGUGCCAGCAGCCGCGGUAAUACGUAAGGACCGAGCGUUGUCCGGAAUCAUUGGGCGUAAAGGGUACGUAGGCGGCUAGAAAAGUUAGAAGUCAAAGGCUAUAGCUCAACUAUAGUAAGCUUCUAAAACUAUUUAGCUUGAGAAAUGGAAGGGAAAGUGGAAUUCCUAGUGUAGCGGUGGAAUGCGCAGAUAUUAGGAAGAAUACCGGUGGCGAAGGCGACUUUCUGGCCAUUAUUUGACGCUGAGGUACGAAAGCGUGGGUAGCAAACAGGAUUAGAUACCCUGGUAGUCCACGCCGUAAACGAUGAGUGUUAGGUGUCUGGAGUCAAAUCUGGGUGCCGCAGCAAACGCAUUAAACACUCCGCCUGGGGAGUACGCACGCAAGUGUGAAACUCAAAGGAAUUGACGGGGACCCGCACAAGCAGCGGAGCAUGUGGUUUAAUUCGACGCAACGCGAAGAACCUUACCAAGUCUUGACAUAUUACAGAAGCAGUUAGAGAUAAUUGCUUACAUCUUCGGAUGACUGUAAUACAGGUGGUGCAUGGUUGUCGUCAGCUCGUGUCGUGAGAUGUUGGGUUAAGUCCCAUAACGAGCGCAACCCCUAUUGCUAGUUACCAUCAUUAAGUUGGGGACUCUAGUAAUACUGCCGGUGACAAACCGGAGGAAGGUGGGGAUGACGUCAAAUCAUCAUGCCCUUUAUGACUUGGGCUACACACGUGCUACAAUGGCAGGUACACAGGGUUGCAAGACUGCGAAGUUAAGCGAAACUCAAAAAGCCUGUCCCAGUUCGGAUUGCACUCUGCAACUCGAGUGCAUGAAGUUGGAGUUGCUAGUAAUCGUGGAUCAGAAUGCCGCGGUGAAUGCGUUCCCGGGUCU